rnacentral:rRNA from 1 species
UACGAAGGGGGCUAGCGUUGCUCGGAUUGACUGGGCGUAAAGGGCGCGUAGGCGGUUCGUACAGUCAGACGUGAAAUUCCUGGGCUCAACCUGGGGGCUGCGUUUGAUACGUGCGGACUUGAGUGCGGAAGAGGGUCGUGGAAUUCCCAGUGUAGAGGUGAAAUUCGUAGAUAUUGGGAAGAACACCGGUGGCGAAGGCGGCGACCUGGUCCGAUACUGACGCUGAUGCGCGAAAGCGUGGGGAGCAAACGGG